UGAAGGGCCAGGUGAAGGAGAAGCCAGCCUUAUGGGACAUGUGUGCUUACGGGCACACAUGAAUGUGAUGGUCACGGUGCAGAAGGGAAGGAUGUGGAGACACAGAGAGCAGGAAGAAUCUUGUCUUGUGGGGUGUGAGUGGAGGGCAGCCGGGUGCACAAGGACCAGAGAAAGGCAGUGAGGACACGGGAGAAGCUGCACCUGUUAUCAGCUCAUCACUCUUGUCACACAGGGCAUGAGUCCCGGAGGCCGAGAGCUCAGGGAACUAGGGAUUGAACCUAGGGCCUCAUGCAUACCAGGCAAGAGCUCUACUACUAAGCUACAGCCCCAGGACCCAUAAUUGUUACCUUCUAUUUGGAGAUGUGAGGACCCUCUCUGUCACGUCCCUCUGAUACUUAACCAGCGAAGCCUAGUCCGUGUCCUACAAACCAAGAAAAGCUGCCUGACUUUGCAGCCAUUUCUGGAUCUUCAACGUCAAUGUGCCCUGCAUUUGGCACAAACAUCUAGAGCUCAGCCCAGCACUUUACCAACAGCCAGGAGGAACACCAGGAGUGUACCACAUUCCACGGCCAGCAGCAUGCAGACAUCCUCCAUAAUAGUAGAGCCCUCCCUCCUAUCACGCUGAAUUUGCUGCUUCUUGUGGCCUAUGCAUCUCUCAGCUUUUUCCUGCCUGUCUCCAUCCACAGUCACAAACUGUGGCCUGACUUUGUUCCUCUGACUAGAACUUCCUUCAACAGCCUUGAACUUGGGUGUAAAGACAGAGCCCAAAAUUCUGUGCAAAGGAUGAAUAAAAAUAAUAAAAAUUGAAAACAGCAAAA
rnacentral:lncRNA from 1 species